AGCGAACGCUGGCGGCAGGCUUAACACAUGCAAGUCGAGCGGGCACUUUCGGGUGUCAGCGGCGGACGGGUGAGUAACGCGUGGGAACGUGCCCUCUGGUUCGGAAUAACUCAGGGAAACUUGAGCUAAUACCGGAUACGCCCUUUUGGGGAAAGGCUUGCUGCCGGAGGAUCGGCCCGCGUCUGAUUAGCUAGUUGGUGAGGUAACGGCUCACCAAGGCGACGAUCAGUAGCUGGUCUGAGAGGAUGAUCAGCCACACUGGGACUGAGACACGGCCCAGACUCCUACGGGAGGCAGCAGUGGGGAAUAUUGGACAAUGGGCGCAAGCCUGAUCCAGCCAUGCCGCGUGAGUGAUGAAGGCCUUAGAGUUGUAAAGCUCUUUUAUCCGGGACGAUAAUGACGGUACCGGAGGAAUAAGCCCCGGCUAACUUCGUG
rnacentral:rRNA from 1 species